rnacentral:lncRNA from 1 species
UGUUUAUUAACCAAAAUCACUAAUUCAAUCAAUAAUAUCUACUGAGAAAUCAAUAACGUAUCGGAUCCAAACAGUUAAUGUUUGUUUACUUGUACGUUAUACGAAAUGGAAAUCGCUGGUGCAUUUUGAAUUUCAUUCCGAAUCAGUAUUACACUGUUACACGCGAACUUUAUUAACCUUUUCUUGCAGUCCAGUGUACAAGAAAGGUAAAUUUUCAUAGAUCUCACGACACUGCGGUACCACAAAACCUCACCUGCGACUGGACCCAACAACGUAACAUGAACACAAAAACGAAUUUUCCGAAAGAUGGGGUCAUUUUAAAGAAUUCUCUUCCCAUACGCAAAGUUCUGAUAACACAUUUUGGCAGCCGUUAUUAUCGACCAUCCAUACAUAUAUAACUGCUAAUUCUUUCACUGGUGAAAAAUAAAAUAGUCCCGACAACUGACCAAGGCGUCGCGAUGAGUUUCUAUAGUAAAAAAAAAAGUCACCACAAAGAUAUCAAUCAACAUGAACUAACGAUGCCACACACGUUCGGAAUGGCAGACAACUCUUACAAAUAAAACGUGAUGGCAUGGCGUGGUAUCAUGCUACAGUUUAUGGCACUCAGGAAAGCGAUAGAGUUAGAAAGUCCAUAAAAAUUUAGAUUGCUUUCAGAGAUUAAACAAGUAGGUAGGUUUUCUAGCGUUAACUGACUGUGAAGUUCAUGUUUCCAUUCUGCUCAUUGUAAGGGAAUUAACUGGAUUGAAACGAAUUCGUUUUUACGAAACCACAUCACAAAAUGAAAAUAAUCUUAUGACUUUUUAUUACCGAUAUAAACAUUUUAAACAUUCAAAAGCAUAUGCAUAGUUCCAGUAAGUCGAUACUGUAAUAUUUCUUGAAGAAAUUGUAGUUGCUCAUUACUUAGCUCCUUUGGAAUACCGAAAUACCAAAUUACAAUGGUAGCAAUGUCUACAUAUAUAUAUAUAUAAGGAACUUGUCCUGACUCCUGGCUAACUAACUGAUUGAUGUUCAAUAUACAACCGAAAUAAUUGGAUCGAUUUCAAUUAAAAUUGUGACAGCAUAAAAGAAUGGGUUUUCAGAAAAUCGGAUUCUAAAGGGUUGAAAAAAUCAAAACUUUUACCUGAAAUAUAUUCAAAUAAGGUGUCAUUAAAAGAUGACUAAAUUCUAAGUAUCAUAGCUCUGGAGCCAUAAGUGGUAUAGUCACUAUUUCAAAUAUAGGGCCAUGAUGAGUCCCAACACGCCCCUGGUUUUUCAAUUUUGUCAAAAUUGUUAAACUCCUUUCCGGAAAUUAAUUACGAAUUAGUUUUGAUUAGUUUAGAAAACUAUUGCAGCUUAAUUCGUGAAGUUUAAGAGUUUAUACACUCUAUUUUUGAGUGUCCGAGGAGGCCUUUAGUUUUGGUCUUUCAUAUUCGGUCUUGUUUUUUGUCUUGGUCUUGUUCUUUCGGUCUUGGUCUUACUAGUAUAAAUACAUUACGACCGAACAGUCGUGUUAGCUGGUAUUACUAGUAGGUUCAGUGUGCUGUUGCUAUUGCUAUUACUUUUUAGAUUGGUUUGUAUAGACUAUAUCGAUGACGUAAACGAAAUCUUUUAAUAAUUUUACUAUCGAAACAUUCACCUGUUAGGACCAUUACAAUUCUACCUUUAAUCAAGAUAGGUAAACGUGCUGAUGCCUUAGCUAGUACGUUAUUAUUGCAUGCUGAAGACUCCGUUGAUAUGUAGGCAAAGUGCAUAAUGCAAUAGUAGUGUUUUGACAACGAUUUCUUUAGGUAUGUAAACGCGUAAAUCCAUAAUGAAUCGUCAUUAUUUGAAUAGGGAAUUACUCGUCCAUCAACGGCACAACCGUUCCACCGGAUGCAUGUAGCGGUAUCCGCCAGAACCACUUGCCGUACAUCACUUCAUGACAUCAAUUAUUUCAUUGACUACCUGUUUGUAUGAAUGGAAACUCGUGUAUUAUGUGUACGUUAGCAAGUUAAUGAUUACGGGAACUGAUCCGAUGUGCGAUUGCCGUCUUUUUGUUUAAAACAAACGAAACGAGACGAAAUGGCGCAAACAAGAAUAGAGAUCGUCAGGCAUUUAAUUCACACCUAGUCGGGCUUUUCUAAUUUUAACAAGGUUAACAACAUAAAGUUGAUAAUAUUGAACACUGUUAACUCUUCAAUAGCAAAUCAGUGCUGAAUGUAGUGUAGAUACACGAAAGUGGGAAACCCUGGAUAACAAAUGAGAUUGUAGGAUUAAUAGAAGAAAGGCGGAAAUACAAAAACAGGACAGACGAAGAA